GGUAAUGCCGGAUGCUCCAGUCCAUCGCAUGGUGGUCUGGGAAAGAUUCCAUCGGUAUGGGAUGGGGUCGCGUCCUAUCAGCUUGAUGGCGGGGUAACGGCCCACCAUGGCUUCGACGGGUAGCCGGCCUGAGAGGGCGACCGGCCACAUUGGGACUGAGAUACGGCCCAGACUCCUACGGGAGGCAGCAGUGGGGAAUAUUGCACAAUGGGCGCAAGCCUGAUGCAGCGACGCCGCGUGCGGGAUGGAGGCCUUCGGGUUGUAAACCGCUUUUGAUCGGGAGCAAGCCCUUCGGGGUGAGUGUACCCUUCGAAUAAGCACCGGCUAACUACGUGCCAGCAGCCGCGGUAAUACGUAGGGUGCAAGCGUUAUCCGGAAUUAUUGGGCGUAAAGGGCUCGUAGGCGGUUCGUCGCGUCCGGUGUGAAAGCCCAUCGCUUAACGGUGGGUCUGCGCCGGGUACGGGCGGGCUGGAGUGCGGUAGGGGAGACUGGAAUUCCCGGUGUAACGGUGGAAUGUGUAGAUAUC
rnacentral:rRNA from 1 species